rnacentral:tRNA from 1 species
GUGGGUGUGGCUCAUUGGUAGAGCACUUGCCUAGCAUGCAUGAGGGCCUGGAUUCAAGCCCUAGCCCCAUA